CUCAGUCCUUAGCCUCUUCAAGAGACUCGCCUGCCUUGCUGCCUAUGCUCCGCUCUGUACCGUACCUAGCUAUGGGACCGCUGAGCCGGGCGCUUCGAGUCCUCGAGGGAAGCCAGCGCCGAGCGGUCCCUGCGGAGUCAAGACCUCAGGGAACGGUCGGCGCUUCCAACGGUACCGUCGUUUGCUCUCAAGUUCUUAACCUAUCCAGAUUUCAGAAGGCCCCUGAUUUUUACUUCACGCAGGUACAGGGAGCUCUCUGAGCGACCAGUAGAAUAAGCAGGAAUGGUUGGUCAUUGAAGUGAAAAAAACCCAACCGGAGGGAUCGGCCGUUUACUCUGUUGUUCCAUAGAGGCAUAGACCAUAGGUACCUGUUCUUCGUUCAGUUGAUUUUGGGUAACAUUAGCUUUGGAGGACAGUCGCCUCCUCUGGCUCUGGGAUUUCUAUUGAGAGAAGUAGCUCCUCUCUAUUACCUUAAACAAGUCAGCCUUGUUUAGUUCCCAAAAAAUUUUACAAAAUUUUUCAGAUUCCCCGUCACAUCAGAUCUUUAGACGCAUGCAUAGAGUAUUAAAUAUAGAUGAAAAUAAAAACUAAUUGCAUAGUUUGGUCGGAAUUGAUGGGACGGAUCUUUUGAGCCUAGUUAAUCCAUGAUUGGACAAUAUUUUUCACAAACAAACGAAAGUGCUACAGUACCUGUUUUGCAAAAUUUUUUGGAACUAAACAAGGCCGAGAAAGAUUAGCAUCCAAAAAUCAUGAAAACCUGGCCAGCAUUGCCAAGUGGUGUCCUUCAGUGUCUCACAUUCUUUUAUUCAAAUGUAAAUACAAUAUAUGAAGCUGUUUGGCCAGCCCCGUUUAAACCAAAAUACUCCCAGGCUAAGGAUAAUAUGCUGAAAUCUACAUGAUAAAAACAAUUGUGCUCGUGCAAGGUUAAUUACUAAUUGAACCGAGCUAAAAUCUUGCUGAACUUGAUAUCCGCGAGCUAGGUAUCCUUUCACCUCUGUAAAUGACAAGUGAACCAUGACGCAUAACCGUCUUCAAUUGUUCGUGCAUCCCUCUACCUCUGUCUUCUUCUUGGCACCGGCUUUUUUCAUUUGCACCAUCUUUAGUUUCUUCUUGUGGCAAGAUUUGUUCCGACUCACCAUUUUCAGGUCCUACUUUCUUGUUUUUGCAGAAAUGGGUUAUCAAGGCGACCACAAGAGAAGUGGUUGAGGCAACUCCAGUAGCGAUGAUGGGUCCUGCAAAGCUGUCAAAGGUCAGGCUACCUGUACCAGAGAUGGUGCCCACAUUUUGGCAGUUAUUUUGAUCUCCUAUCCAUUUCUUCUCGAUUUGAAUGAUCGUAUCUCCCCCUGUUAUGUUCAGGAUUGCCUGUGAGAUGUCGCCAAUUAAGGGCGACCCCUUCUGGAAUGCCUAAGGAAGAUGAUAAACCCAGGUCAGUUUGUCCCAUCAGUGUGCAAACUGAAAUAAAGCUUUAUUUGAACUUGGUUACCCCAAAGUAAUGAACUUAAUAAACACAGUCAAACUUACAUAUCCAAAACCCGCAGUCUUAUAUAUUGGCCCAACCAUGGUGUAUCCCUUGCAGUGCUCUGCAAGAAAUAGUUUGAUGUAUGGGAUUUCAUCUACAUGGGCAGCAAUACCACCAUUCUUGCUUCCCUUGGAAAGUGCAUUGUGAUAAUCUUCAGGGGUUUCAUAGGGCUUGAUCUUUGAUGCGUCAAACCCAAGUUCUUCCAAAAGACCCUUGAUGUAGGAACCACGUGAAUACCCAACAGAUUCUCCGGUUUUUAGGAGUUCAUCGACAUUUGUUACAGUUGGUUGGAGCUGUUGCACAGUUAGCAUGGAUGUCAAGCUUGCGGUGUAGCUUGAUUUAAGUACCAUUAGGAAGAACAGCCAUAUGACCAAUACGAUCCGUGAGAUCAGGCGUUUCACCUUCUCUUCUGCAGAAAUUACAUUAUGAGUUAAUGCUAUUUCAGACAUCAUAAAUGAAAGUUCUGAAAAUAAAAAUUAAUUCAUCAAACUCGAGAUUUUGUUAUCUUUUCAGACAUAUGGUGGGAGUUAUUCUUUCUUGCUUUUCUAAAUUCGUAUUUGCCUAGUAUCUCUGUAUACACUGUUUGCCUUGGCUUCCUAUUUAGGCACAUUUGAGAUCGCUUAUGACCUUAGCAUGUUAGUGGAGACCUUGCAUAUGAUGGUAAUAUAUUCCUUCUUGCACUUUUAGAAUUUCAUACUGUUUGGUUAGUUCCCAAUACAUGAUUUGUCUCCUUGUUUACGCACUUGUGUGCUUAGGACAUGGCUUAAAAAGACAGCACAGUUAGUGGAAAACAUAUAAAAUACACAUUUCUUUUUCCAAGUUAUGGAAUUUUUCUGUAUGAAAGUCACUUGCCAGGAUAAAAAACAUAUCAACUUGAUCGUUAUGCUGUACAGGGAAAAAAGUAUUGUGAUAGGAACACUCAACUCUCUUCAAACAGUGAAAAAUAUAUCAUUGUAGCUAGCUGUCGUGGAAUUGGACCACGAACAUUCUUGUUGUCUCCUAGAUGCUCCAACAACCAUAUCACGAUGCCUGUGUAGAUAAAGAGUAUGAUGGUUCCAAACCACAUGCCUGGUGUCAGUGGCUUCAAAAAAAUCCAGGCAUUCUUGUUUAUGCUUUCCUUGACAGGGACAACCAUUGCUAUCCCUGAUUCAGUGUAUGGCAGAGUGAAGUCAACGUACAAACUUCUGUUGUACCUAAUUGUUAUGUCUCCAACUGCUAUGUCAUACUUCUGCCAGAGUGUAAGAGAAAAUUGUUUAACCAAGAGUGGGGUUGGAUGAAAGAACGAAUUGUGUUGAUGACAAAGUAAGGUUAUAAAAAGCUUAAGGCCUUGUUUGGAUGUAGUCGGAUUCACAUCAAUCCACAUGUGUUGAGGUGGAUUGGAGUGGAAUUUGAACUAAAUUCCACUCCAACCCACACCAACACACAUGGAUUAAAGUGAAUCCGACAACAUCCAAACAAGGCCUAAAUUUUCUUUUCUUCUAUUAUGGUUCUGUAACCAUUGACUAAACUAACACGAUUCAAAUAAUUGAAGUAGUUUGAAGUGACACCAUGAGUCCAUGAUAUGUAAUAUCAGAUCUUGGAAGAGCAUUUGUGCGACUUAUAUACUUUUGACUUGAAAAGGUAAACGUGCAAAGUAUAUGUUACCUUAAGAUAAACCUGGUAGACAAAAUCAUCAUAGCUAGAACUUACAUUCCCUGUUGUGUUAAAUACUACGUAUUCAUAAGGAAGUGCAUAAGGAAGUCGCUUUACUGCCUCUUCAAAUAUUUCAAUUGCAAGGCCGCUUGCUUUAACCAAACCUCUAAGGGAGUCUUCACUGGCAUCUAUGUAUUUUGGAAACCCUCCGCCUAUGACUAUACCAACUUGAAGCUUCUUGCCAUCUAUUGGAAUUUCCCAUCCUCUGGGCACCUCUGUUGAUUCUCCUGGCCAAAUCACGGUAUUCAAAUUAUAUGUGGUGCUCGAGUAUGUUGUGUUUGUUAUCCUUUGGUCUGAUAGCUGUGAAAUUCCAUUUUGUGUGGUACAAUACCCAAUCACUCUAUGUGCUUUUCCAACUACAUUUAUUAUUUGAAACAUGGAAACUUGCAGCUCCCCAUCUGAAAGAUCAAAGUAACCACUUAAGCCUUUGAAUUUUGUUUGCAAGAUUGCCUGUAGGAAUGCCAGACUCUUUCUUGAAUUUUCUAAGGUUCCUAAACUUGUUGAGUUUUUCAGUGCAGAUGGUCUUUGAGAUUUUUCUUCAGUAACCUUUGCCUUUUCUGCUGCUUGUGCCACCGCCCAGAUUGUAUCAUAGCUCCAUAGUCCAAAAACACUUAAUUUCAAUGUUGGGUCAUUUGGAUGAUCAUUUCGGGACCUCAUGUACCAUCUCAUGGUGAAAUUGUCAGUCUUGUUGAUUUAGGAACAUAGAACUGAACCCCCAAGGCACCAUUCAUUGCUUCCACAACUGAAGGAUUUAGUGAAUCUAUGAGAUUUGCUAGCCCAUCUGUUAUGAUCCAAACAAAUCCCUUCCUCAUCAUGCCAAUUUCCUUUGCUUUUGUGAAGAAGAGGGAGCCCAAGGAGGAGGCCAUGUGCACAACGAAGACCCUUGUUUGCAUUGUCAUCAGCUUGUAGAGUUCUUGAGUAAUUUGUUCACCUGUUGCUGAUUCAUCUAUUGCACUCCGAUAAGGAAUAUGGGCAUCUAUUCCUUCAAGGACAUUGAAAAGGUCUGGUAGUAUACCUCUACCAUAAUCAUUAUCUACAUAGAUAGGUACCACCUUUCUCCAUCCAUAGGCCUUGAUUAUGGAGGCAAUGCUACUCACUUGUGCAGAGUCACACGCUGUUGCUUGAACAAAAUAUGGAAGACUCUGGGAAGACAAAGACGUGCUUGUUGCUGUGAAUGAGAUAAUUGGAACUUGAUAUCUAUUUCCAAGAGCCGAUACGAACACA
rnacentral:lncRNA from 1 species